AUGGUAGCUCUCCGUCUAUUUGAAGUUUUGGAGGCUAUACUCUACCUGACAUCGGAUUGGGCCACUGUUGUACUCGCUUGCAGCUAUGCCAGAGGAGAUACAUGCAAACUCAUUAAGUCCAUCAUUCGGUUCGUUAGAAGGUUUAUGUUUGACAAUUUUCAUGGCAGGAGGAUUAAUUUGUUUGGAUAUUGGCAAAAUAAGAUAGGCCAAUCAUCUGUAAUUGGAGGCAACUUGUUUGUCCAUUUGCUGUAUGUGAGCCACCCUGAAGGAUUUGAAAUCCUGUUGAAGCUUCCAGUGUAUGCAUUACCAUACAACCUGAUUUACUCAAUGGUAUUUUCGACGAAGAAUUUGUGGCGAUUCCUGAUUUGGUCAAGAGUGAGAUAG
rnacentral:rRNA from 1 species